rnacentral:lncRNA from 1 species
GGUUAUAGUUUGGACUUCGCCGGCGGGGUCGAGGUAGGAGAAGGUGGAUUCGGGGAGUUUGUCGCCGACGGAGAUGGUGGCGGAGAUUUUGGGGGAAGAGGAGAAUCGGAGAGGUUUUGAGUUGAAGCGGUUGAAUUUGAGAGGGAGGGUGAAGUUGGAAGAGAGGGUUUUGGUUUUGGGAGAUAAGAGUGAGGUAGUGGUAGAAGAUGAGAGGAGUCUGGAGAAAGAGAGUGAUGUUGCCAUUGUUGAUUUGGAAGAGUGAGAGAGAGUGAGUAGAAGGUGUUUGUGGAAAUGAAUGAAUGAAGAAGGUGAAGUAUGAAUGAAGAUGAAUCUUGCCUCAAC